rnacentral:lncRNA from 1 species
GUUGUACACACUUUGAAAAAUAAAUGCACAAUCAGUAUCAGCGGAUAUUUUAUUAACAGAUUUAUUGACCUUUACGUGCUAGGUACUGUGCUAUGUACUGAGUAUACAAAUGGAAUUGUUUGGGCCUCCUAUGUCCCAGAAUGUCAUGAGAUACUUUUCCAUGUUGUUCAGUCCAUGUGGAAUGUUUUUCUUUCUUUCACCUGGUAAAUCUUCUAUCUUCCAGAUUCAACUUGAUGAUCCUCAACACAGCCUUCCCUACCCUCAAAUGGCCCCCACGAAUUUCUGCUUUGUGUUCUUUUACUUUUUCAACAAACUAUAUGGAGCAUCUACAGUGUUCCCACUACUAUUCUAGGAACAGAGAACACAGAUGUGAAAGCAAAGAAAACAAACAAAAAC